AUUGAACGCUGGCGGCAGGCCUAACACAUGCAAGUCGAACGGUAGCACAGAGAGCUUGCUCUCGGGUGACGAGUGGCGGACGGGUGAGUAAUGUCUGGGAAACUGCCCGAUGGAGGGGGAUAACUACUGGAAACGGUAGCUAAUACCGCAUAACGUCGCAAGACCAAAGUGGGGGACCUUCGGGCCUCACACCAUCGGAUGUGCCCAGAUGGGAUUAGCUAGUAGGUGGGGUAAUGGCUCACCUAGGCGACGAUCCCUAGCUGGUCUGAGAGGAUGACCCGCCACACUGGAACUGAGACACGGUCCAGACUCCUACGGGAGGCAGCAGUGGGGAAUAUUGCACAAUGGGCGCAAGCCUGAUGCAGCCAUGCCGCGUGUAUGAAGAAGGCCUUCGGGUUGUAAAGUACUUUCAGCGGGGAGGAAGGCGGUGAAGUUAAUAACUUCACCGAUUGACGUUACCCGCAGAAGAAGCACCGGCUAACUCCGUGCCAGCCGCCGCAGUAAUAC
rnacentral:rRNA from 1 species